CCAUUUCAGGAAGGCACAGUUUAAGAAAAGGGAUGUGCUUUUAGAAAAAGCACCAAGGAGAGAACGAAUUAUUUUUGGUUUGUCAGAUUGGUGAAAAGAAUCCAAGAGCCAUAUACCUGUAUAUAUUAAUCAUUUAGCUUGAGAGAAACCAACCCAUGCACCAGAAAAGACUGGUUCUGGUUUAGACUCCCAAUAUGUGAAGUAAAUAAUCAUCAUCAGAUCAAGUAAGGACAAACAUAUCAGUAAGUCAACCUGAAUUAAUCAUUACACACAUAGC